ACAGAUAAAUCAAUUAAAAUAAUAACUCAAAAACCGGGGUAGUAUAGGAUGCGGCGGAGUGACAGUUUCAGUAGCCAUAACUCGUUGAUGAUGGUCUUCUCUCCUUGCCAUAACCUGCAAGGUCUUAAGAUUUGAUUUAUCUUGUUUUUUAGUUGAUCAACAUCUUCUCUCAAUACUUUUUGACCUUGCUCUAGCUCUUCCACGAUUCUCUGGGAAUUGUUUCAUGUUCUGUAUGGUGUCGUGGAAUCAAUUUGCUUGGUUAAUUUUUUUUGGUGAUUGAAAAUGAUGGAUCGAGUUUGUGAAUGAAAUGUUGAUGCAGAUGAUGCAUGAGUUUUUGGAUGCAUGAUAAUGCAUGAGUUGUUUAUUUUUAUUUUUGGAAUGCAAUAUGCUAAAUUUGGAAAAUAAGUUUUUUGCUUGAUAUUAUACGAAUAUGAUAUGCUAAAAGAUUUUUUUAUGAAAACGAGUGCAAUGUCAUGUCAUGUAUAGAUUUAAGAGCGCAUGGGUGACCAGGUUCCCAACAACCUAUAUGAGGGUUCCUUACGAUGGGCAAGGCUCUAAGUGCUUUCUAAAUAGUGACCUUACAAAUGGUGGCUCUAAGGUUUUGAUAAGGUACCUAGAAUCACGAACCCUAUUCAGAAUUUUUCAAUAAUAAUGGGCUAGAUAUUUCAUGACAACAUCUCCAAAUGAUCUACUCUAGGAGCCUAAGGAAUUGACAUCUCUUGAUUCACCUUGGACUGGCUACUAGAACAACCACCAAUUUUAUGAAGAGGAAGAUAUAGCCCUUUGAGAAGAAGAAGAAGACUCAGAGGGAGAAUCUUCAGCAUCUCAGAAGCAACCUGUGCCUCUGAGUUCCUCCGUAUCAUUUUGUUGGAUUCAUCAUGGAGCUUGAUUUGUGAUGAAGCUAUGGCAAGUGGAUGUAUGUGUGGUCUUUUGUGGCUGAAAGUUACAUGGUUCUUGCUUUACUACAGAUGGCAAUUGGCUCACAGUUUGAUAUAGGAUGUGUGAGGUCUGCAUUUGGCCUUAUGGUGGUUCUAACUUAGACAAUGUUGAUGUUUGCAAGUUUGGUGAAUGUAAGGCUUGAUGUAAGUCAUGAACAUAUGGUGUGAAAGGUUGGAUAAAAGCUUGCAACAUGAAUGACACCAAGUUGGAACUUUGAAGUAUCAAUGACAAAUGGUCAAGAUCAAGUAGGAAUUUUGGAGAUUAAAAAUAGGA